CUUUCCCCUACAGAUGUAUUUGCCAAGCUCCAUGAUUCAUACGGUAAACUCAGGAGAGCUCUUUUGAAGGUUGAUAUCAAGACCUUUCCAUCAACUCACCCACCAGAAAAUUUCUUCAGAGUUUCAUUUCAGGCCAACAAAAUGUUUUUUUCCAAGUGGUUGGCAGUACCUCUGUGAUCACUAGAGUGAAAGGUCAUUCAUCUGUCCUCAUCUGGAUGACUGAUUAUGGCAGAUGAAAUCAAGASUCAGGCACUAAUUACAAUGAGUGUUACAGCCAGCUGCUCCAUGCAUCCCCGACCUUCCAAGUCAGAAAGGACUGACCUUGUUUCAUUGAUCUACCUCCAAAAGAGGAUUAACGACUACAACCCAACAGAAAGGAAGUUCCCUCAUAAAUUCAACUUUGCUGACAGAGUUUCUACUAUAGUUCCGAAAAAGCUGUCAUCUUUUUGUUGUGCCAAUCAAGGGAUCAUUGACUUAAACCUGAUUACAUCUUCCAUCUUCCUUUACUAAYUUACUACAGUCAAGACCAGGAUGUCUUUUCAGAGAUUUUGAACAGCAACAUAUCCAGAGAUAGCUGAUCUGAAUAAUUCUGAUAUGACUAGCUCCUGAUGAUAUUUGUUUGAAGAAGAAUAUUCUAUCCCACAGACUCGGCUCUUUUGAUAUAAAUUGAAGACAUCAUUUUCAGAUAUCUGUUAAAAACCUUACAAUAUUGUGAAAAAUCACUUAAUCUUUCUGGGACUUCAUUUCCACUCCUCCUUUACUCCCCAUAAAGCAACUUUAGUAAUAACUUCCUGACUGUGCUAUGAUUAAAACUUAAUUGAUGCUUGUAAAAGUCCAUGAGAUUCUUUAAGGGAGGG
rnacentral:lncRNA from 1 species